AGAGUUUGAUCCUGGCUCAGGAUGAACGCUAGCUACAGGCUUAACACAUGCAAGUCGAGGGGCAGCACGAAGAUAGCUUGCUAUUUUUGGUGGCGACCGGCGCACGGGUGAGUAACGCGUAUCCAACCUGCCCUAUGAUAGGGAAUAGCCCGGCGAAAGUCAGAUUAAUGCCCUAUGAGUUCCCACGAAGACAUCCGAAUGGGAAGAAAGGCUUGCCGUCAUGGGAUGGGGAUGCGUCCGAUUAGGUUGUUGGCGGGGUAACGGCCCACCAAGCCUGCGAUCGGUAGGGGUUCUGAGAGGAAGGUCCCCCACAUUGGAACUGAGACACGGUCCAAACUCCUACGGGAGGCAGCAGUGAGGAAUAUUGGUCAAUGGGCGAGAGCCUGAACCAGCCAAGUAGCGUGCAGGAUGACGGCCCUAUGGGUUGUAAACUGCUUUUGUGCGGGAAUAAAGUCGCCCACGUGUGGGUGUUUGUAUGUACCGCAAGAAUAAGGACCGGCUAAUUCCGUGCCAGCAGCCGCGGUAAUACGGAAGGUCCGGGCGUUAUCCGGAUUUAUUGGGUUUAAAGGGAGCGCAGGCGGGCUGUUAAGCGUGACGUGAAAUGCUGGGGCUUAACCUUAUGUAGUGCGUCGCGAACUGGCAGUCUUGAGUGGGUACGACGUUUGCGGAAUUCGUGGUGUAGCGGUGAAAUGCUUAGAUAUCACGAAGAACUCCGAUUGCGCAGGCAGCAAGCGAGUCCCUUACUGACGCUAAAGCUCGAAGGUGCGGGUAUCGAACAGGAUUAGAUACCCUGGUAGUCCGCACGGUAAACGAUGGAUGCCCGGCUGUUGGCGAUAUAAUGUCAGCGGCCCAAGCGAAAGCGUUAAGCAUCCCACCUGGGGGAGUGCCCCGGCAACGGUGAAAACUCAAAAGGAAUAGACGGGGGCCCCGCACAAGCGGAGGAACAUGUUGGUUUUAAUUCGAUGAUACGCGAGGACCCUUCCCCGGGCUUUGAAUGGCAGAGGAAAGGAAUUAGAGAUAAUGACGCCCUUCGGGGUCUCUGUGAAGGUGCUGCAUGGUUGUCGUCAGCUCGUGUCGUGAGAUGUUGGCUUAAGUGCCAUAACGAGCGCAACCCUUGUCGAUAGUUGCCAUCAGGUUAAGCUGGGCACUCUUGUCGACACUGCCGCCGUAAGGUGUGAGGAAGGUGGGGAUGACGUCAAAUCAGCACGGCCCUUACGUCCGGGGCUACACACGUGUUACAAUGGGAGUUACAGAGCGUCAGGCGCCGGCAACGUUGUCUUAAUCGCUAAAGUCUCCCUCAGUUCGGAUUGGGGUCUGCAACCCGACCCCAUGAAGCUGGAUUCGCUAGUAAUCGCGCAUCAGCCAUGGCGCGGUGAAUACGUUCCCGGGCCUUGCACACACCGCCCGUCA
rnacentral:rRNA from 1 species